GGAUGAACACGCAGGAGAGUCUU
rnacentral:misc_RNA from 1 species